AGCAUCCUCCUUUCCUGACCCUGGCAGGGUUUGAAACCCCUCACCUUCGAGCCUCUUUCUUUCUGGGUCUCCUGCUGCCCCUCCGACUGCUCCUCCUCAGCUUCCUUUUCCUCCAGAGGCUCUGUCUUUACUUACCGCUCUCCCCUCUAGGUUGACUCUCUCCAUAAGUAGUCUCCUCCUUCCUGCCCUUCACCCUCACAUGGCUUAUUCUCUCCACCAGGCCCACACACUCACCUCCAGGGUGUUGGGGGCCUCACCAGGAGGCCCCACACCUGGGACGCAGAGCUAAGUGCAUGGCCCAAAGACUAUAAGACUCGUAUGUUUUUGCCUUAUUCCUAGCCCUAUCUUAUGUUCCUUCUUAGGUUUCUUUUUAAAUCUUGUUCCUUUGUACUCAUCUCAUAGUUUAUAGACCCUUUUAAGUUGCCUUUAAAUCUUUCCCCAGUAAGGCUAUGCAAAAGCAAACAAAAACUAAGAUCAACAAUAAGAGCCACAAAGACCUACAAAAAGAUCAACAAAACCAGUCUCCAUCUGGUCCCUGAUGGCCCUCACCUUCUGCUUGGUUCUCCUGAAGCUGCCUUCCUCCCCUGGGCCCUGUUUCUAUUGAUGGCACUGCCAGAUUUCUGGCACAGAAAACCGGAAGGCCCCGCUGACUCAGCUUCUCUGUCUGCACGAGCCAGUCAGUCACCAAGUCUUGGAGCUUCUCUCUCCUUUACCAGCCCCUCAUUCUCUAUCCCAUCUCAGAGACUCCGGAUCUAAUGAUUUGUUUCUUUCCGAAACAGACCUCAAUAUCUCUUCCGAAACCAUUAUUCAUUGUAGAAAAGCAAUAGAUAUUCAUUGUAGAAAAUUUUCAAAAAUGCAAGUCAACAAAAAGAAGAAUGUGAAAACCACCUAUAAUUUUAUCAACAAGAAAACACUUUUCUUUCCCAGUGUAUUUUUUUGGUCUUCCUGGUUCUGGGCUCAGCUGAUGGAACCCCAGGAGCUACUGCAGCACACACAGCCACCUGUUCAUCUCAUUUUAUACCUCCUUCAUGAAGCUGUCUCCAAGAUGGCAGACUAGAAGAACAUGCACUCAUCUUCUGUGAGAAUUCCAAAAUUACAACACACUGCUGAACAACCGUUGACAGGAGACUGUUGGAUCC
ensembl:lncRNA